UACGUAGGGGGGCAAGCGUUGUCCGGAAUCAUUGGGCGUAAAGAGCGCGUAGGCGGCCCUGUAAGUCCGCUGUGAAAGUCAAGGGCUCAACCCUGGAAGGCCGGUGGAAACUGUCGGGCUAGAGUCCGGAAGAGGCGAGUGGAAUUCCCGGUGUAGCGGUGAAAUGCGCAGAUAUCGGGAGGAACACCAAUGGCGAAGGCAGCUCGCUGGGACGGUACUGACGCUGAGACGCGAAAGCGUGGGGAGCAAACAGG
rnacentral:rRNA from 1 species